CCUAUGACAUAUCUGCUUCCUUUUGCUACUUUGUUUCUCAAACAUACUCCAGCACCCGGCUCACACCACGUGUGUUGUCACCGAGCUACGGGAAGUAGUAAAGGAACAGUCGUAGACAGCUGCUAAAUUUAACGGUGUACGUGAUUGUGGUGGGGUAGCCUUCAAUAGGAAGGAUCUGAUUCUCACCACCGUGCUGCUAACAGGUGCUAACAAUUAAAAACUAUCAAUUAUUAUCAUGACGUAAUUCAGUGUUUAUCAGGUACAAUUUGUAGUCGAAAACCUAAAGACGCAACAAGUUGACGUGUUCAUGGUUUCUUGGCCCUUCGUCGUUUGUUUAUUCCAAACAACACACUGAGACACUCCAGAUCAACACAGGUCCAUCAGAUGGAAAGACACAAACUCACGUUUGAUCCAUGCUGCUGAGGAACUGUUACUGUAUAGGAUAAAGUUCAAAUUCUGUUCAGGAACUUUAUUUCAUAAUGUGUCUCCAUACGUGGAACCGCUCAGGCGUUUCUCCAAUCAUCCUGUAUUCAAGGGGUCGUGAGAGGUACGGAGAGAUGAGGAGGUGUUGGUCGGACGAUCCUGAAGACGAUCGUUGAACAAGCAUUCUACAUCCAGCCAUCACUGAACCGACCUGCCCGCCAAAGUAUGAACCUCAUUUUGGCCCGUGAACCCUGUCCUAGACGGUUCUUUGGUCCAUCACAAGUAGAAACAAAGAGUCUAAGUAUGAUUAGUUCGACUUACUCUCAGCAUCCCAGCCCGCUGAAGGAGCCGAUCCUCUCCAGGCGGACACCGAAGCAGCUCCUCAGUCCUCCCUUCUUGUACCGGCUGGAGGCGCGCUUGGAGGUUCUCAUCAGGUCCUUCAGCAGCCGGGUCAGGACGUUUUCUUCAGUGGUCAGUGCAGAGUUGCUG